GUUUUUCAUAAUUUUGCUGUUUCCAUGGUAACGGCGGCCAUUUUGAAUAUUCCAAAGUCAAACCCCCGCUGCAAUUUUUUCCCUCCAUAAUGUCCUAUCAUUUAAUGUCUCUAGAAUAAAUUUAACAUUGAUGUUCUGGAAUGUUCUGUGAAAAUUCAAAGUUUUGACCUUUUUGCAUUGUUUCCAUGGUAACAACAGAUAUUUUGGAAAUUCCAACGCCAAAUUCCACAUCUUCCAAUGUUGCUCAUCGUUACUGUGAAGUUUCAUUAAGUUUGGAGCAUUUUGAUAUUUUUGAAAUUUUUGGUGUAGUUUCCAUGGCAACAUAGUAGUUCCAAUGAGUACCAAAAUCAUCCAACACCUGUAUAUAGUGGGCACCUACAUUGUAUUAAAAUAUAAUGAUUCUGAGUUAAAGCAUAUCCAAACAGUUCACCAAAACAAAAAACUGGAUUUUUUCACAUUUGUUCUGUUUCCAUGGAAACGGUAGCCAUCUUGAACCAUUCCAUGCUUACUGCAACUCUGCACGUGGGGGUCCUGACUAUAGUAGAGUUCCAUCAACAUUGGUCCAUUGGAUUUCGAGAAAUCACCUGGACAAAAUUUGUUGCAAGAAAAAAAAUAAUAAGAAACUAGAUUUGCGAUUGCAAGCAAUAGCGGAUGGCACCCUUCCCCUAUUGCCAGGUGAGCGGUAGCCAUGGUAACGGCGGCCAUUUUGGAAAUUCCAAACUCAAAAGUCAAGUCUACAUUAGCUUAGCAACAUUUGUUAUAAGUUUCAAUAAAUUUGAAGCAUUUUGAAGUUUUUGUAUUUUUGCUGUUUCCAUGGUAACGGCGGCCAUUUUGAAUAUUCCAAAGUCAAACCCCUGCUGCAAUUUUUUCCCUCCACAACCAUAUACCAUUUAAUGUCUCUAGAAUAAAUUAAACAUUGAUGUUCUAGAAUGUUCUGUGAAAAUUCAAAGUUUUGACCUUUUUUGCAUUGUUUCCAUGGUAACAACAGCGAUUUUGGAAAUUCCAACGCCAAAUUCCACAUCUUCCAAUGUUGCUCAUCGUUACUGUGAAGUUUCAUUAAGUUUGGAACAUUUUGAGAUUUUUGAAAUUUUUGGAGUAGUUUCCAUGGCAACAUAGUAGUUCCAAUGAGUGCCAAAAUCAUCCAACACCUGUAUAUAGUGGGCACCUACAUUGUAUUAAAAUAUAAUGAUUCUGAGUUAAAUAGUAUCCAAAUAGUUCACCAAAACAAAAAACUGGAUUUUUUCACAUUUGUUUCGUUUCCAUGGUAACGGCAGCCAUCUUGACGGUGCCAUACCCCACUGCACUAUAGAAUGUUCUUGUCUACAUUAUGGUAUAGUUCCAUCAAUAUUGUUCAAGCCAAUUCCGAGAAAUAGCAUGGACAAAAAAGUGUGGAAGAAUAAAUAUAAUAAAAAUAAGACAAAAAGAAACGAACAAUAACAAUAUGUCACCCCAACUCCGUUGAGGGUGCCAUAAAAAAAGAAACGUAGAAUAACAAUACGUCACCCCAACUCCGUUGAGGGUGCCAUAACUAGAUUUGCCAUUGCAAGCAAUAGCGGAUGGCACCCUUUCCCCAUUGCCAGGCCAGCGGCAGCCAUUUAGAAAAUUUUUGCUGUUUCCAUGGCAACGGCGGCCAUUUUGAAAAUUCCAAACUCAAAAGUCAAGUCUACACAAGCUAGGCA
rnacentral:lncRNA from 1 species